UACGAGUGCUUCGAGCGUUAUCCGGAAUCAUUGGGCGUAAAGGGUGUGUAGGCGGUUAUGUUAGUCUCACGUUAAAUUCUCCGGCUCAACUGGAGAGCUGCAUGGGAAACGGCAUGACUUAGAGGAUGGUAGGGGUCUUCGGAACUCAUAGUGUAGCGGUGAAAUGCGUUGAUAUUAUGGGGAACACCAAAAGCGAAGGCAGAAGACUGGACCACUCCUGACGCUGAAACACGAAAGCGUGGGUCGCGAAUGGG
rnacentral:rRNA from 1 species